rnacentral:rRNA from 1 species
GGUUAAGUUAACAAGGGCGCAUGGUGAAUGCCUUGGCACUAGGAGCCGAUGAAGGACGGGACUAACACCGAUAUGCUUCGGGGAGCUGUACGUAAGCUAUGAUCCGGAGAUUUCCGAAUGGGGCAACCCAGCAGUUUUAAUCAACUGUUACCACUAGAUGAAUUCAUAGUCUAGUUGGAGGUAAACGCUGUGAACUGAAACAUCUCAUUAGCAGCAGGAAUAUAAAGAAAUUUCGAUUCCCUAAGUAGCGGCGAGCGAACGGGGAACAGCCCAAACCAAAGUGUUUGCACUUUGGGGUUGUAGGACUGAACAUUUGAGUUACCAAAGAACUUGAUAGUCGAAGGAUUUGGGAAAAUCCGCCAUAGAUGGUGAUAGCCCAGUAGAUUAAAUCAAAUUCUCUCAGUUCAGGAUCCUGAGUACGGCGGAACACGUGAAAUUCCGUCGGAAUCCGGGAGGACCAUCUCCCAAGGCUAAAUACUACCUAGUGACCGAUAGUGAACCAGUACCGUGAGGGAAAGGUGAAAAGCACCCCGGGAGGGGAGUGAAAUAGUUCCUGAAACCAUGUGCCUACAAUAAGUCAGAGCGCGUUAAUGCGUGAUGGCGUGCCUUUUGUAGAAUGAACCGGCGAGUUAUGAUCCCGUGCAAGGUUAAGACUAAAAAGUCGGAGCCGUAGCGAAAGCGAGUCUGAAAUGGGCGUUUUGAGUACGAGGUUAUAGACCCGAAACCAGGUGACCUAUCCAUGUCCAGGUUGAAGGUGCGGUAAAACGCACUGGAGGACCGAACCCGUGUAAGUUGAAAAUUGCUGGGAUGAGGUGUGGAUAGCGGUGAAAUUCCAAACGAACUUGGAGAUAGCUGGUUCUCUCCGAAAUAGCUUUAGGGCUAGCCUCGGAAUUAGGAUCAUGGAGGUAGAGCACUAUUUGGACUAGGGGCCCGUCUUGGGUUACUGAAUUCAGAUAAACUCCGAAUGCCAUUGAUUCAUAUCCGGGAGUCAGACGAUGAGUGAUAAGAUCCACCGUCGAAAGGGGAACAGCCCAGACCAUCAGUUAAGGUCCCUAAAUGUAUGCUAAGUGGAAAAGGAUGUGGAGUUGCAUAGACAACUAGGAUGUUGGCUCAGAAGCAGCCACCAUUUAAAGAGUGCGUAAUAGCUCACUAGUCGAGUGAUCCUGCGCCGAAAAUGUACCGGGGCUAAGCAUACUACCGAAACCAUGGAUGCGACCAUUAGGUCGCGUGAUAGGAGAGCGUUCUAAGGGCGGUGAAGCAAGAUCGUGAGGACUUGUGGAGCGCUUAGAAGUGAGAAUGCCGGUAUGAGUAGCGAAAGAUAGGUGAGAAUCCUAUCCACCGAAUGACUAAGGUUUCCUGGGGAAGGCUCGUCCUCCCAGGGUUAGUCGGGACCUAAGUCGAGGCCGAGAGGCGUAGACGAUGGAUAACAGGUUGAGAUUCCUGUACUAGUUAAGUGCGUUUGAGCAAUGGAGGGACGCAGGAGGCUAAGAUGUGCAUUCUGUUGGAUUAGAAUGUCCAAGCAGUAAGUCUUGUGAAGAGUCAAAUGCUUUUCACUUUAAGGACAAGCUGUGAUGGGGAGCGAAAUUUAGUAGCGAAGCGUCUGAUGUCACACUGCCGAGAAAAGCUUCUAGUGAGUACUUAACUACCCGUACCGCAAACCGACACAGGUAGUCGAGGAGAGAAUCCUAAGGUGAGCGAGUGAACUCUCGUUAAGGAACUCGGCAAAAUGACCCCGUAACUUCGGGAGAAGGGGUGCUGAUCGCAAGAUCAGCCGCAGUGAAUAGGCCCAGGCGACUGUUUAUCAAAAACACAGGUCUCUGCAAAAUCGUAAGAUGACGUAUAGGGGCUGACGCCUGCCCGGUGCUGGAAGGUUAAAAGGAUGGGUUAGCUUCGGCGAAGCUCAGAAUUGAAGCCCCAGUAAACGGCGGCCGUAACUAUAACGGUCCUAAGGUAGCGAAAUUCCUUGUCGGGUAAGUUCCGACCCGCACGAAAGGCGUAACGAUCUGGGCACUGUCUCAACGAGAGACUCGGUGAAAUUAUAUUGUCCGUGAAGAUGCGGACUACCCGCGACAGGACGGAAAGACCCCAUGGAGCUUUACUGUAGCUUGAUAUUGAGUGUUUGUACAGCUUGUACAGGAUAGGUAGGAGCCAUAGAAACCGGAACGCUAGUUUCGGUGGAGGCGUUGGUGGGAUACUACCCUCGCUGUAUGACCACUCUAACCCGCACCACUAAUCGUGGUGGGAGACAGUGUCAGGUGGGCAGUUUGACUGGGGCGGUCGCCUCCUAAAAAGUAACGGAGGCGCCCAAAGGUUCCCUCAGAAUGGUUGGAAAUCAUUCGCAGAGUGUAAAGGCACAAGGGAGCUUGACUGCGAGACAGACAGGUCGAGCAGGGACGAAAGUCGGGCUUAGUGAUCCGGUGGUACCGUAUGGAAGGGCCAUCGCUCAACGGAUAAAAGCUACCCUGGGGAUAACAGGCUUAUCUCCCCCAAGAGUCCACAUCGACGGGGAGGUUUGGCACCUCGAUGUCGGCUCAUCGCAUCCUGGGGCUGUAGUCGGUCCCAAGGGUUGGGCUGUUCGCCCAUUAAAGCGGUACGCGAGCUGGGUUCAGAACGUCGUGAGACAGUUCGGUCCCUAUCCGUCGCGGGCGUAGGAAAUUUGAGAGGACCUGUCCUUAGUACGAGAGGACCGGGAUGGACAUACCUCUGGUGUACCAGUUGUGCCGCCAGGCGCAUCGCUGGGUAGCUACGUAUGGAUGUGAUAAACGCUGAAAGCAUCUAAGUGUGAAACACACCUCGAGAUGAGAUUUCCCAUUCCUUUAUGGAAGUAAGACCCCUGAAAGAUGAUCAGGUAGAUAGGUUAGAAGUGGCAGUGCGGUGACGCAUGAAGCGGACUAAUACUAAUCGGUCGAGGACUUAACCAA